rnacentral:rRNA from 1 species
GACGAACGCUGGCGGCGUGCUUAACACAUGCAAGUCGAACGGUGAAAGCGGAGCUUGCUCCGCUGGAUCAGCGGCGAACGGGUGUGUAACACGUGGGCAACCUGCCCCUCACUUCGGGAUAACUCCGGGAAACCGGGGCUAAUACCGGAUAUGACCUCCUUGGGCAUCCUUGGAGGUGGAAAGUUUUUCGGUGAGGGAUGGGCCCGCGGCCUAUCAGCUUGUUGGUGAGGUAGUGGCUCACCAAGGCGACGACGGGUAGCCGGCCUGAGAGGGCGACCGGCCACACUGGGACUGAGACACGGCCCAGACUCCUACGGGAGGCAGCAGUGGGGAAGAUUGCGGAAUGGGCGAAAGCCUGACGCAGCAACGCCGCGUGCGGGAUGACGGCCUUCGGGUUGUAAACCGCUUUCAGCAGGGAAGAAGCCGCAAGGUGACGGUACCUGCAGAAGAAGCACCGGCUAACUACGUGCCAGCCGCCGCGGUAA